UCCUGCCUCGCGAAAAGUCGCCUACUGUGGCGGCCUGCCCCCAUCCAAAUGUGAUGGAUCGGGAUAGCGAGGCAGGUUGGG
rnacentral:ncRNA from 1 species